AUUGCUUCUCAGGCUUUUGGAGAAACUCGAGUGCAUGUUCUUACCAAAUUCAUAUCUGAUAGGUUCUUCCUGUAAGGACUUGUUGUUAAAUGGCAAUGUAGAGCCAGGAAAUGCUUUAGGAGCUUGCUGCUGCAGCUCCACACAUUGCCCUGGUACUACAGUGUCUUCAAGUGCACUGUGACCCCC